GUCGAAAUAGCUCAGUUGGGAGAGCAUUAGACUGAAGAUCUAAAGGUCCCUGGUUCAAUCUCAGUUUUCGGCA
rnacentral:tRNA from 1 species